AGUGAACGCUGGCGGUAGGCCUAACACAUGCAAGUCGAACGGCAGCACAGGAGAGCUUGCUCUCUGGGUGGCGAGUGGCGGACGGGUGAGGAAUACAUCGGAAUCUACUCUGUCGUGGGGGAUAACGGAGGGAAACUUACGCUAAUACCGCAUACGACCUACGGGUGAAAGCAGGGGACCUUCGGGCCUUGCGCGAUUGAAUGAGCCGGUUGCGGAUUGGCUAAUUGGCGGGGUAAAGGCCCACCAAGGCGACGUUCCGGAGCUGGUCUGAGAGGAUGAUCAGCCACACUGGAACUGAGACACGGUCCAGACUCCUACGGGAGGCAGCAGUGGGGAAUAUUGGACAAUGGGCGCAAGCCUGAUCCAGCCAUACCGCGUGGGUGAAGAAGGCCUUCGGGUUGUAAAGCCCUUUUGUUGGGAAAGAAAUCCAGCUGGCUAAUACCCGGUUGGGAUGACGGUACCCAAAGAAUAAGCACCGGCUAACUUCGUGCCAGCAGCCGCGGUAA
rnacentral:rRNA from 1 species